rnacentral:rRNA from 1 species
AAUACAUGCAAGUCGAACGAGUUCUCGUUGAUGAUCGGUGCUUGCACCGAGAUUCAACAUGGAACGAGUGGCGGACGGGUGAGUAACACGUGGGUAACCUGCCCUUAAGUGGGGGAUAACAUUUGGAAACAGAUGCUAAUACCGCAUAGAUCCAAGAACCGCAUGGUUCUUGGCUGAAAGAUGGCGUAAGCUAUCGCUUUUGGAUGGACCCGCGGCGUAUUAGCUAGUUGGUGAGGUAAUGGCUCACCAAGGCGAUGAUACGUAGCCGAACUGAGAGGUUGAUCGGCCACAUUGGGACUGAGACACGGCCCAAACUCCUACGGGAGGCAGCAGUAGGGAAUCUUCCACAAUGGACGCAAGUCUGAUGGAGCAACGCCGCGUGAGUGAAGAAGGCUUUCGGGUCGUAAAACUCUGUUGUUGGAGAAGAAUGGUCGGCAGAGUAACUGUUGUCGGCGUGACGGUAUCCAACCAGAAAGCCACGGCUAACUACGUGCCAGCAGCCGCGGUAAUACGUAGGUGGCAAGCGUUAUCCGGAUUUAUUGGGCGUAAAGCGAGCGCAGGCGGUUUUUUAAGUCUGAUGUGAAAGCCCUCGGCUUAACCGAGGAAGCGCAUCGGAAACUGGGAAACUUGAGUGCAGAAGAGGACAGUGGAACUCCAUGUGUAGCGGUGAAAUGCGUAGAUAUAUGGAAGAACACCAGUGGCGAAGGCGGCUGUCUGGUCUGUAACUGACGCUGAGGCUCGAAAGCAUGGGUAGCGAACAGGAUUAGAUACCCUGGUAGUCCAUGCCGUAAACGAUGAAUGCUAGGUGUUGGAGGGUUUCCGCCCUUCAGUGCCGCAGCUAACGCAUUAAGCAUUCCGCCUGGGGAGUACGACCGCAAGGUUGAAACUCAAAGGAAUUGACGGGGGCCCGCACAAGCGGUGGAGCAUGUGGUUUAAUUCGAAGCAACGCGAAGAACCUUACCAGGUCUUGACAUCUUUUGAUCACCUGAGAGAUCAGGUUUCCCCUUCGGGGGCAAAAUGACAGGUGGUGCAUGGUUGUCGUCAGCUCGUGUCGUGAGAUGUUGGGUUAAGUCCCGCAACGAGCGCAACCCUUAUGACUAGUUGCCAGCAUUUAGUUGGGCACUCUAGUAAGACUGCCGGUGACAAACCGGAGGAAGGUGGGGAUGACGUCAAAUCAUCAUGCCCCUUAUGACCUGGGCUACACACGUGCUACAAUGGAUGGUACAACGAGUUGCGAGACCGCGAGGUCAAGCUAAUCUCUUAAAGCCAUUCUCAGUUCGGACUGUAGGCUGCAACUCGCCUACACGAAGUCGGAAUCGCUAGUAAUCGCGGAUCAGCACGCCGCGGUGAAUACGUUCCCGGGCCUUGUACACACCGCCCGUCACACCAUGAGAGUUUGUAACACCCGAAGCCGGUGGCGUAACCCUUUUAGGGAGCGAGCCGUCUAAGGUGGGACAAAUGAUUAGGGUGAAGUCGUAA